rnacentral:sRNA from 1 species
ACUAGGUUGAAAGCAACUUCAAACAGGUGUGCGCCGUGCCACCUGGUCUAAGGAUGUGACCGUAUCCAAGGCCACUUAGGAGCGGCCCCAGGCAUCCUCAUGAAGCGUCUCCUCUCAUUUUCAGGUUCACUCUCUUCGUUUCUCAUGAAACGGCCAUUUUUGUUCAGCAGAUGUUCCACUGGCAGCGUCUCCUCCCCCAGGGGAGCUGGAGAGGAGGGUUUCGAGUGGCUUCUGCAAAAUAUCUUGAAGGAGAACAAUCUGCCUUCGGCGGUUGAGGACUCUCCACUCAAGGUUCAGCGAGGCUCAAGCUGUGGACAGAAGGCGUGCAGGAGGGCCGCGGGGUCCGCUGCUGUCUCCCUGGUCUGGCUUUCAGCACAGCCAUUUCAGAGAGAGCAGAAUAGCUUCCAAGUCCUGUGCCAGAUGGAGAGAAAAUGGCGCCUGGGCCAUCCUCCUCCUCCUUCCUCCUUCUGAGUUGGCGCCCUGCGAGGUCCCCUCCUCCACUCCCCUCCUCUGGCUAGGGGCUCAGAGCUUUAAAGUGUGGCCAGGACACCCAGACUUUCUGGGAGAUUCUCUCUGUCAUCAAAAGGUUCACAGACUUGGGUAAUGAGAGGGAACCAGAGCCAACUGAGGCACCGAUGCUACCAGGACUGGUGUCUGCACGAGAUGGCCUUAUGACAAACACCCAAAGGCAUGGCCACAUGAAGACCCAGGAUACAGAGGAAGGAGACUGAGAGCCGCGGGGUUAGGAGAGGCCUCAAGUUGAUUCUAUGACUGACAGGGAAUACAAAUGUCUGUGUUCCCCUGCCACCCGGGUGGUGGUGGAGGAGGUUGUUAGGAUGCCCUGGUACACAAACGCCGAAGCGUGUUCUUCAAGACACGUCCUACGUUCCCAGUGACAUCUGGGAUAGUAAGUGGCUGUCGUGGUGCCGAGGCUCCAGCUGAAACCUGCCAGGUCACAGAGACAUGGUGUCUGCCUGGUCCCUAGACCAGCCUCCCAGAGCCUGUGUUCGAGGCAAGGUUGAGAGGAGCCAAGUAAAGGAGUUCUAUUCCACAGACCCUGGACCCACCUGUCCAAUGGCUCUGCUUCUUGAAUAAUGUCUGGUGCCCUUAAAAGAAUAAAAAUAGGGCCG